UUUUCCAAUUCUCACAUGUGUCGUCGUGCUAGAUUCAUGCUCAACCGUAGUGAGCUCUCGGCAGUCAUGUUUUGUAAGUUGUGACUAAAACAAACAAUCUCUUCAUUUUAAGAAUUUUACCCUUCUCCCUUUGUUCAUUCUCAUCCCAAACUUUCAAAAUUAACAUCAAUACAAAUAACUUAUGUUUGAUAUUCAAGGUGAGUUAACUUGCGCUGAUAGUCAACGGCAGUUAACUAUCGUUGCAAUCAUUUUCUAUAUUUAGACCAACACUAGUAGAUCACACUUUAAACGCACAUUUCUUUCUCUCUUCACCUCCAAUAACUCAAAAAGUGCUAAAAUUUGGUGGAAAAGCUUAGUCUCAUGAAAAAGGUUAGGAAGCAAAUUUUUACACGCAUCAAACGUCAAAAACAGGUAAUGCAUCAUCUAACCUCUUUACAUUCUGCCAUUUUUUUUUCUCCUAGCUAUGUCAGUUUAGAACUCUAGACGUAGCGGAUGUUAAAUUCUGCUAAGGUGCCAGCGUGAGUUAACUUCCGCUGAGGGCCAGCGUGAGUUAACUUAUGUUCGGGGUGCAAGUUUGAAUUUUGGCGGUUUUUUUUUUCUUCCCUUAGGCUUAUGAAACAUAAGUUAUCUAUAAUCUUUUUCUUUGUCAUUUUUUAUUCGUUUACAUAGCGGUGGUUGAAAUACGGUGGAUGAUGGUGUUGAACCCAAAUCGCACGUCAUUGAAGUUUCUGUUGAUGUCAAACCUUU
rnacentral:lncRNA from 1 species